GGGCUUAUAGCUUAGUAGUAAAGUAUAAGGUUUAGGUUUUUAAAAACCCUUAAGGUCCUAAGUUUAAACCCUAGUAAGUUUA
rfam:Diaporthe ampelina DA_912_scaffold_v01_195, whole genome shotgun sequence.